AGAGUUUGAUCCUGGCUCAGGAUGAACGCUAGCGGGAGGCCUAACACAUGCAAGCCGAGCGGUAGAGAUUCUUCGGAAUCUUGAGAGCGGCGUACGGGUGCGGAACACGUGUGCAACCUACCUUUAUCUGGAGGAUAGCCUUUCGAAAGGAAGAUUAAUACUCCAUAAUAUAUUUGAUGGCAUCAUUAAAUAUUGAAAGCUCCGGCGGAUAGAGAUGGGCACGCGCAAGAUUAGCUAGUUGGUGAGGUAACGGCUCACCAAGGCAAUGAUCUUUAGGGGGCCUGAGAGGGUGAUCCCCACACUGGUACUGAGACACGGACCAGACUCCUACGGGAGGCAGCAGUGAGGAAUAUUGGUCAAUGGGUGCAAGCCUGAACCAGCCAUCCCGCGUGAAGGACGACUGCCCUAUGGGUUGUAAACUUCUUUUGUAUAGGGAUAAACCUACUCUCGUGAGAGUAGCUGAAGGUACUAUACGAAUAAGCACCGGCUAACUCCGUG
rnacentral:rRNA from 1 species